rnacentral:rRNA from 1 species
GACGAACGCUGGCGGCGUGCUUAAUACAUGCAAGUCGAACGGAAAGGCCCUGCUUUUGUGGGGUGCUCGAGUGGCGAACGGGUGAGUAACACGUGAGUAACCUGCCCUUGACUUUGUGAUAACUUCAGGAAACUGGGGCUAAUACCGGAUAGGAGCUCCUGCUGCAUGGUGUGGGUUGGAAAGUUUCGGCGGUUGGGGAUGGACUCGCGGGUUAUCAGCUUGUUGGUGGGGUAGUGGCUUACCAAGGCUUUGACGGGUAGGCGGCCUGAGAGGGUUACCGGCGACAAUGGGACUGAGAGACGGCCCAGACGCCUACGGGAGGCAGUAGUGGAGAAUAUUGCACAGUGGGCGGAAGCCUGAUGCAGAGACGCCGCGUGCGGGAUGACCGCCUUCGGGUUGUAAACCGCUUUCGCAUGUGACGAAGCGUGAGUGACGGUAACGGGUAAAGAAGCGCCGGCUAACUACGUG